GAUGAACGCUGGCGGCGUGCCUAAUACAUGCAAGUCGAGCGAACAGAUGAGGAGCUUGCUCCUCUGACGUUAGCGGCGGACGGGUGAGUAACACGUGGAUAACCUACCUAUAAGACUGGGAUAACUUCGGGAAACCGGAGCUAAUACCGGAUAAUAUAUUGAACCGCAUGGUUCAAUAGUGAAAGACGGUUUUGCUGUCACUUAUAGAUGGAUCCGCGCCGCAUUAGCUAGUUGGUAAGGUAACGGCUUACCAAGGCAACGAUGCGUAGCCGACCUGAGAGGGAGAGGGGGCACGGGGAGGGAGCGACGCGGGCGAGACGUCGGGGAGGGGCAGGAGGGGGGAAUGGGCGAAAGGGGGCGAAAGGGUGACAGAGCAACGGAGCGGGAGAGAAGAAGGUCUGAGGUGCGUAAACCUCUUUUAUGGGGGAAGAAAAAAUGGGUAAGGACCUAGGCGUGGCGAGAGGGGCGGUAGACAGAGAGCCGGGGCACACUGUG
rnacentral:rRNA from 1 species